GAUUGUUCUUUCAGGAUGGUCAGUCAACAAGCAAGGCACUUUGAUCUCCGAAGGUAUUUUUAAAGAGAUUUUGCAGGUUGAUUCAUAAAAAACCCCUUCAUUUUGUGAACACGCUGAAUGAGCAGUAUACAGCACAGCAAUUCAUUAAGUUUCCACCACCAAGAUGUAAUCGGCAUUCCUUACUUUGUAUUGCAAAAUCAGAUGUUAAGAGAUGAAAAGUACCAACCGAGUUCAAAACUCGUGCUGGAGAAGAUAACAGCAAGUGGGGUGAACUGUCUGCCACCUCCCCCCUUCUGCAAAUUUGCUGAGCUAGUUUAACUGCGGCCAACUGCAGCCAGCAGUCUGUGCCAGGCCACAGCCGACGGGAGGCUCGGGCCGCCCUUCACCCCUAGUUCUCACUAGCCACUUGUCCUUCCGUGCACCGGCCGCCUCAGCGCGGGGCGCGUAGGCCGCGCCGGCCGCUCGGCUCCGACGCGCGGCCCAGCACCGACCUCCCGUGAGGGGGAGGUGACGGGGGGGGGGCGCGCAGGCCCUGCCCGAAAAUAGCGCCCCCCCCGCCCCAUCCCCGGAAGUGACGCCCUGCCCAGGGGACGAAGGGGUGCUCGCCUGCCAUUGGGAGAACUGGGAAACACGAUUUUUUUUUUUUUUUUUUUUUUUUUUUUUCCCUUGCUAGGGUUUAAAUCCUGAUCCCAAAGAGAGGAUGUGUACGCUCUUGGAAAACAUACCCCAGUCUCUCGCCGAAGUCGCCAGGGAGCCUGGCCCUGUGCAAGACCCCAGGUGGCAAAGAGACUUGCUCGCACAACGGGACCUCGGCAGCGGCGGCCGGUUACGAGGCGACCCUCCAGCUGCCGAGCCCCCUGCGCGGGAACGCCCGGGCCGCGGACGGCGGGGAAGGAAUGAAGUUCCAAACGUGGAAAUUUGUUACGAAACCAAGGAAUACUGGAUGCAUCUCUCAUCAUGAUCGUACGUGGUAAUCCCUGAAAUAUGAAGAAGGUUCAUGCUGUUCACAGAGCAGCCCUCUUUUCCUGUAUGAGCUCUAACCAGUUCCCUGACCCUGUGUGCCCCAGAUGAGGAAACUGUGUAAGAUGUAAGACAAUCACAGCCCGAAUCUCAUAUUACUCAUUGUAUGAACUCAGAGAUAGCUCUCAUUAAGUUAAAUUUCCUUUUCCAUGUAUUAGCCCUGCCUUUAGGCUCCAUCAAUACUGAUUACAGUUCAGUGGGAAGGCCCUCACAGGUCUGGAUGUUUACAGAAGGAGUAAAAAAGUCUCCAGUUCUGGUUUCCAGAUCUUCCGAGCAGUGGUAACUUCUGCAAAUUCCUUUCACAGACAGGUUUCAGAGUGCCCCAAUAAAUGCAGCUACAAUAUUGCUAGAAGCACAGGGAACAAAGGGAAGACAGAUCAACAACAAGCAUUUUCAGUGCAUGUAGAUAACAGAAUGGCCGUGCAGAAGUAGCCAAUACUGCACAGCUGGAGGGGAAGAAUAAAUCUUUAGAAUUGCUGAAAGGGCAAAGAAACAGGAAGAGGUCCAAUUUAAAGCAUGAUAACAUAAUGGAGUGGUGAUACGGGCAGAGCAAACCACUUGAUGGGGAAUAAUAUCUGUAUCUAAAAUUUAUCCUAGCACUCUGGAGUAACAAAACCAGUAAAUGAAGUGCAGAGAAUUUCAGUCCAUAGCUGCACUGAUCAUUUCACAGCAAUAUUUUGCAGCUGUCACAGCAGCAAAUGCUAGAAGCUGUAUUCCAAUAUCCAUUGUAACCUUUUCUUGUGUACUGAUUUUACCUGUGUACAGAUUCAGAUUCCAUUCGAAGUAAUGUUUUUGUGUAUUGGUUUCAAUUUCAGUGGUUUUUUUAACCCCUACAUGCAAAAGCAUCUUAGCUCUGAACUGCAUAUAAAUCCCUAUUCUAGUUGGUAACAGAAAUACAAGUAACUACCAGAUACAUUUUUUUAAUAUUAGUACCAUUUAAAAUUAGUAUUUUCAGGUCUUCACAAUAGUUUCUGCUGGAUUUUUUGUUCCUUGUCUCUGAUGUAGUACACAACAGCUUAAAAGCGGUUCAAAGAUAUUUUAGUUAAUCAUAAGCCAGGCAUGGAACAAUCAAGCAAGUUAGUAGUAUUUCCCCUUAGAAAGAUCAAAGAACCCCAAGCUUCAAAAAUCUACUGUCUUGUUUGUUAAAGAUACUACAAAACUAAACAUGAUACCUCGUGUGAGUAGGUUGAAAAUAAGAAGGACAAGACAGACAAGUGCCUGGGCGUUCUACCUAAACUAAUUAGACCUCGUAUUGCAGCAUAUCCAGAAGAGUAAAAAUCAUUGCUUUGUCAAUCUCACAGUCCUUGUUCAAUCUACAGCUCUGACCAAAACAAGUAAACCAGAACAAAAUGCAAGAAAGCAAUGAAUGAUUCUGCCCUAAAUGCACCAAGUUCAGGGCUGUAUAAUGAAAUUGAAACUCUUAGAAGGAAAUAGUACUGUCAAAGGAUGGACAAAAGGUAUCCCUGGUGCAGAGAGAAAGGAAUAUGUACCCUGAAACAUACCCCUAAUUGCCUAGGUACGUGAAAGUUGGGUCCUAGGGGGAGUCUAGUAGUGCCUACUGACACCAGUCAUGGUUUUGCAGUCACUAAGGGACUACAAAAAAAUGCAGAAAGGUCUGUUUCUUUUGGAUAGUUUAUUUUGCUAACCCUCUACAGUAAAGAUUAUUAUUUAAGAUUA